AAGACCAUUUUUCCAAACCCCUUCCUACAUUUUCUGGGCCCUCUGGGGCUGGCUGCACACUUGGAUGUCUCUGCUCCUACCAACUCAGGCUACCUACCUACAGUGCUGUCUAGUCUGUGGGGUCAUGGCCCUCAGGGACUCAAGCAAGUUUCCUUUUGGAGAGUAUUCCACUGUGGAGGAAGUGCCAGAAACUGGAAUGAUACAAUGGAGUACUUCAACAGAACAGACUAUAAUUCAUCCAACAUGAGCAGGAGCCUGAGAAGCCACCAAAGUGUGAAGCGUACUCUGCAGGCACUUAUCCUGGGUCACUGUGUGAAGACGGAGACAAUAGCCUGGUGUGGAGUAGUUUCAUGCUAUUUACUCUGUGGCCUGAGAACACAAAGGGAAUUACACUGAAGUACAGUCAGCUGAGCAGCUGCAGGUCAUCUCAUUUGUCAUCUAAACCAGGGCUUACAGGCCACCAUCGCAUUUUAAACCUGAAGUCAGAAUUCAUAUAUUUCUUUGUUAAAUCUUAGAGGAAGAGGCAGGAAGCUCAUUUUGACUGGUGGCCUUGAGGAGAUUUCUUUGAUGGCAAUAUUUUAAUGGGUUAAAGGUUCAACAUGGUUUAUUUAUGUCAUUAGAAUGACGCCAUUCUUGUUUUCAUUCGUUUUUAUUCAAAUUCUUUUAGGGAAGGCAAUUCCUGAUGAGGCUAAAUAAAUAAAUAAAUCCCAAAUUUAACCA
rnacentral:lncRNA from 1 species